GUCGGAAUCGCUAGUAAUCGCGGAUCAGAACGCCGCGGUGAAUACGUUCCCGGGCCUUGUACACACCGCCCGUCACACCAUGGAAGUCUGCAAUGCCCAAAGCCGGUGGCCUAACCUUCGGGAAGGAGCCGUCUAAGGCGGGGCAGAUGACUAGGGUGAAGUCGUAACAAGGUAGCCGUAGGAGAACCUGCGGCUGGAUCACCUCCUUU
rnacentral:rRNA from 1 species